rnacentral:rRNA from 1 species
GAUGAACGCUAGCGGGGGGCCUAACACAUGCAAGCCGAGCGGUAUUUCUUCUUCGGGAGAGAGAGAGCGGCGUACGGGUGCGGAACACGUGUGCAACCUGCCUUUAUCUAGAGGAUAGCCUUUCGAAAGGAAGAUUAAUACUCUAUAAUAUAUUAAUUGGCAUCAAUUGAUAUUGAAAACUCCGGUGGAUAGAGAUGGGCACGCGCAAGAUUAGCUAGUUGGUGAGGUAACGGCUCACCAAGGCAAUGAUCUUUAGGGGGCCUGAGAGGGUGAUCCCCCACACUGGUACUGAGACACGGACCAGACUCCUACGGGAGGCAGCAGUGAGGAAUAUUGGUCAAUGGGUGCAAGCCUGAACCAGCCAUCCCGCGUGAAGGAUUAAGGUCCUAUGGAUUGUAAACUUCUUUUGUAUAGGGAUAAACCUACCCUCGUGAGGGUAGCUGAAGGUACUAUACGAAUAAGCACCGGCUAACUCCGUGCCAGCAGCCGCCGUAACAC